GUAGGGAAUAUUGGGCAAUGGUCGGAAGACUGACCCAGCCAUGCCGCGUGCAGGAAGACGGCCCUCUGGGUUGUAAACUGCUUUUAUCUGGGAAGAAAAAGGCCAUGCGUGGCAAAUUGCCGGUACCAGAUGAAUAAGCACCGGCUAACUCCGUGCCAGCAGCCGCGGUAAUACGGAGGGUGCGAGCGUUGUCCGGAUUUAUUGGGUUUAAAGGGUGCGUAGGCGGCUGAUUAAGUCAGCGGUGAAAGACUUCGGCUUAACCGGAGCAGUGCCGUUGAUACUGGUUGGCUUGAGUGUCGGAGGGGUACAUGGAAUUGAUGGUGUAGCGGUGAAAUGCAUAGAUACCAUCAGGAACACCGAUAGCGAAGGCAUUGUACUGGCCGACAACUGACGCUGAUGCACGAAAGUGUGGGGAUCGAACAGGAUUAGAUACCCCUGUAGUC
rnacentral:rRNA from 1 species